CAACCUCAACUCAUAUGGGACUACCCCCUGAAUUUAAGCAUAUUAAUUAGGGGAGGAAAAGAAACUAACAAGGAUUUUCUUAGUAGCGGCGAGCGAAAAGAAAUCAGUUCAGCACUAAGUCACUUUGUCUAUAUGGCAAAUGUGAGAUGCAGUGUACGGAACAUCAACAUUCUAGUAUGAGAAGUUAACGAUUUAAGUCCUUCUUAAAUGAGGCCAUUUACCCAUAGAGGGUGCCAGGCCCGUAUAACGUUAAUGAUUACUAGAUGGUGUUUCCAAAGAGUCGUGUUGCUUGAUAGUGCAGCACUAAGUGGGUGGUAAACUCCAUCUAAAACUAAAUAUAACCAUGAGACCGAUAGUAAACAAGUACCGUGAGGGAAAGUUGAAAAGAACUCUGAAUAGAGAGUUAAAUAGUACGUGAAACUGCUUAGAGGUUAAGCCCGAUGAACCUGAAUAUCCGUUAUGGAAAAUUCAUCAUUAGAAUUGUAAUAUUUUAAACAAUAUUAUAAUAAUAGUGUGCAUUUUUUCCAUAUAAGGACAUUGUAAUCUAUUAGCAUAAAUAUUUAUCAUAAAAUUAUGUCUGAUUGCUUAUUUGAAUUAUAUGCUUGGCAUUUUAACAUAAAAUAAAAGAUAUAAAUUUGAUAAAGUGCUGAUAGAUUUAUAUGAUUACAGUGCGUUAAUUAUCGGAAUUAUAUAAUGGCAUAAUUAUCAUUGAUAUUUGUGUUAUUAUAUGCAUUUGUAUGAUUAACAAUGCGAAAGAUUCAGGAUACCUUCGGGA
rnacentral:ncRNA from 1 species